rnacentral:rRNA from 1 species
UGGGGAAUUUUGGACAAUGGGCGAAAGCCUGAUCCAGCAAUGCCGCGUGUGUGAAGAAGGCCUUCGGGUUGUAAAGCACUUUUGUCCGGAAAGAAAUCCUUGGCUCUAAUACAGUCGGGGGAUGACGGUACCGGAAGAAUAAGCACCGGCUAACUACGUGCCAGCAGCCGCGGUAAUACGUAGGGUGCAAGCGUUAAUCGGAAUUACUGGGCGUAAAGCGUGCGCAGGCGGUUUGCUAAGACCGAUGUGAAAUCCCGGGCUCAACCUGGGAACUGCAUUGGUGACUGGCAGGCUAGAGUAUGGCAGAGGGGGGUAGAAUUCCACGUGUAGCAGUGAAAUGCGUAGAGAUGUGGAGGAAUACCGAUGGCGAAGGCAGCCCCCUGGGCCAAUACUGACGCUCAUGCACGAAAGCGUGGGGGAGCAAACAGGAUUAGAUGCCCUGGUAGUCCGCGCCCUAAACGAUGUCAACUAGUUGUUGGGGAUUCAUUUCCUUAGUAACGUAGCUAACGCGUGAAGUUGACCGCCUGGGGGAGUACGGUCGCAAGAUUAAAACUUAAAUGAAUUGACGGGGUC